GACGAACGCUGGCGGCGUGCUUAACACAUGCAAGUCGAACGGAAAGGCCCUGCUUUUGUGGGGUGCUCGAGUGGCGAACGGGUGAGUAACACGUGAGUAACCUGCCCUUGACUUUGGGAUAACUUCAGGAAACUGGGGCUAAUACCGGAUAGGAGCUCCUGCUGCAUGGUGGGGGUUGGAAAGUUUCGGCGGUUGGGGAUGGACUCGCGGCUUAUCAGCUUGUUGGUGGGGUAGUGGCUUACCAAGGCUUUGACGGGUAGCCGGCCUGAGAGGGUGACCGGCCACAAUGGGACUGAGAGACGGACCAGACGCCUACGGGAGGCAGCAGUGGGGAAUAUUGCACAAUGGGCGGAAGCCUGAUGCAGAAACGCCGCGUGCGGGAUGACGGCCUUCGGGUCGUAAACCGCUUUCGCCUGUGACGAAGCGUGAGUGACGGUAAUGGGUAAAGAAGCACCGGCUAACUACGUG
rnacentral:rRNA from 1 species